rfam:Salmo salar isolate Sally breed double haploid chromosome ssa01, whole genome shotgun sequence.
UGCAUUCACUACUGUAAGUCACUCUGGAUAAGAGCGUCUUCUAAAUGACUAAAA